GUUCAUUUGUUUUAUCAAACCAUUUCUAGGGGAACCUUAGACCAAAGUAGUUGUUUGCAAGUGGUGGCUAUUAAGAAAAGAAAAGUGCUUCACGUGAUAAUCAGCACUUAAAGCCAAAGUAUCGCAGAUAUUACAAGUAUUCUGCCCACUUCACCCUUAGGAAGGCUAAAGUGUAAUAAAGUAGCCUUUAGCACAUCCCACUGUUUGACGUGGGAGUUUAUGCGGAGCCGCAUUUCCGUGGUGAGUGUACUACUUGGACGGAACACGUGCGAAAUUGGAUCUUUUCCGGCUGGAAAAGCGGUUCACGGGUCGAUCGUUAGUUAUCCCCGAUUCACCCUAGGAACGUUCGCCGACCUCCCACCAAGGGGGCCAGAAAAAGCUACUAUCGGAAGCUAACGCCUCAGCCGAGACAGUCCGUUCCACCAACGAGGCAGCUCUCCCACGUGACCGUUAUUAGAAACCACGACUCGCCGUUACGUUACGAUAAAAACAUCGCACUUAGACUGUGUGCGCCAUCUACCAGUUUUAGUGAAGAAUCGUCGGUGGUGCCGUUGGACUGUGUGCGUGUCCUCGCUGCGUGUGAAAGGGAUCGGCGUUAUCGCACGCGUAUGUAGCCUCACUGUGUUAGCAGCAUAAUUCGUUGAAGCUUGCAUCCUUCGCCUAUCACCGUUGGAGCAUCCUGCCACCCACCGAAGAGAGUAUGUCGCCGAACCAAUAAGGUCAGACCAAACCAUUGUUUCUUUUUUUAGAAUACCUAGGAUUAAGAACCAAAAUUAUAAAGUGCUGCAGGAGCCUAAACAAACCGUAGCAUGUAGACGUCAACCAGUUAGAGUA